UACGUAGGGUGCAAGCGUUGUCCGGAAUUAUUGGGCGUAAAGAGCUCGUAGGCGGUCUGUUGCGUCGGCUGUGAAAACCCGGGGCUCAACCCCGGGCCUGCAGCCGAUACGGGCAGACUAGAGUUCGGCAGGGGAGACUGGAAUUCCUGGUGUAGCGGUGAAAUGCGCAGAUAUCAGGAGGAACACCGGUGGCGAAGGCGGGUCUCUGGGCCGAUACUGACGCUGAGGCGCGACAGCGUGGGGAGCAAACAGG
rnacentral:rRNA from 1 species